rnacentral:misc_RNA from 1 species
GUCUCAGUUUUUGUUUUGCAAGCGUAUGUAUGCGUUCUAAAGGACGUAGCUUGUCCCACUGCUUGGGCGUUCUUGAGUGCAUCAAUUAAUAAAUAACCUUGCGUUCCGUGCAUUAUGUAAGGGCGCGCGACAGCGAAAGACUGGUCAGAAGAACGGAAACGCAGUAUGAGCAUGAAUUUCGCCUUGAUAGGAAAGGCGUUACGGUAGCGACGACAGUUGCAGCACCGGACUCGGGGGAGGGAUUCCGCGCAAUCUGUGAGGAUUUUCUCUGUUAUCACAACUGUGGAGCACGCUCACUCCUUGUGCGUCACUUAGCUGGAAGAUGUUGGUAGCUUACGCUUGAUGGUUUCUAUUCUUCUUCGUCGUCUCCUUUCGUGUCGAUGUGAUACAGCGGUGAGCACACUAUGUGUGCUUGUGUGUGACUGGCUGUGGCUGUGUUAGAGUAGCUGCGCGCUAUUUGGGCGCCUUGAUUGGUACAACCAUGCGUUGAACACCGGACGGAUCUGAGAAGCCUAUUCGUUUCUCAGCGUUACCGCGUGGUGUAAACAGUGCGGGCGCAGUCAGAUCCGUUGUCCGACAUGUUUGACAGCUGAUAGCUCCGGUGACGCAAAGACAGGGAACACGAAGAGGCGUGUGAAGUGCCCAGCAGCGCGGAAAGUCGUCCUGUGUUACGUCUCAGGUCCUGGCAUGCUGGGGCACUACUCGGAGGCCCGGGCCUACGGCAGUCGGGACGAGGAGGCGCAGCAGCACGCCGAUGUCUUCCUCGACUUUGACGACGACCCCGUGAGCAAGGAGGCCAUUCAACACGACUGGAGCGGUAUGCUCUUCUCACAGGAAGAGAACCCCUUCGUCGACGAAGACAACGAUUUUAUUCUCAUAGCCGAGUGCAACGAAGUCCACGGACCGAUGCCACUCGUAACCAUACCUCACAACAUAGGAGACAGGGUGGAGAGCAUAGACAUCAACUCAUUAGUAAUCAGCAUACUCUCUGUUGACUAUCAGCAAGUAGGAGCCUCAUCAACAUUCCCCAAGCUGGACAGCCAAAUCCUGAUGCCAAGUAUACGAGAUGAUCUGCACAUACUUGUCAACUACUCUGUCAUGUUGGAUCCCAAAGCAAGGGGUUUUGUUCGUCCCAUGUGCAUUGCCUAUGCUUCAUCCGACAAGGGAAAAUUGGUCAGAAAUGCACGCUACAUCCGAUCCGCACUGAUUGAGGCAUCUUUAGCACUGAAGUUGUUCAACAUCAAGUAUUUUGUUCAAGGAAUCAGGAAUCACCUCAAGGAUGUCAAGUACACCAGAAGAUUAAACGUCGGAUGCGGCCAGCGCUUGGACACGUUGAAUGGCGCGUCAAUCUCUGAGGCAAGCUUUCACGAGUCGCUCAACAAAUAUGAAGACAUGCUUGAAUCUGCACUUCAAGAAAUAGAGGACUCCCUGGCUGCUGGCUGCCCAUUUGAUGCUGACCAUGCUCGCCGCAUCAAGUACCAGGCCAAGGACUUGGUGCGCCACCUGCUAAACCUGCCAAGGCUGAGCCCCGAGCUGGAGCGAUUCCUCCAGUUUGCCACUGAAAAAGCACAGCUUCAUGAGCCCAGGGAGCUGAAGAUCCCAUUUCAGAGGGACUACGAACACGGCCUGGUGCCAUUGCGGGACAUCUGGAAGAAAGGCUUCAUCCUCUGCAUCUACUGGCUGUACGUCACAUACAAGUUUUUCAGAAGGAGAGCAGAGAGUGUGGCAGUCUGUCUACAGCAGGAAAAGCCAUUGUCUUGGUUACGCUAUGGUGCCUGCCUGAGGUCAACAGACUCCACAAGGGCAUCAGCCUCUAGUCUUGUUUCAAACGGCAACAUUUCAUCCCAUGACAGGUGCUCAAGGUCUAGUCAGCCAAUGUGUAUCUACUACCGCCUUGCUCAUCCUGAGUGCCUCCCAUUCGACAAAACAGCCGAUGGCUUGUGGGACGUGGACAGUGGAUUUCUCGACUGCUUCUCUCAUCUUCAUCUAGACAAAGGUGCAGUCGAAAGAGAAAAGGAGAAUGGAAGCGUUAACCACUCCAUGGCAAGCAUGCCACUGCCUGAGGAACUAUACAACAGGUUUGAAGCUGAAAACAGGAGAAUGAGUGAGUGUGAGAAAGGCAGCUCUCUGAUGGAGGCUUAUUGCAAGACAAAGGCAGCAGCAACCUCAUGGAGGUUUUGGCAUAUCAGACAAACGAGCCCCAAAGAUGCUGCAGGGCAGAGGUCACCCAAAAUACGGACUAUGUGGAAAGAGCAGCUACUGCGGCAGAGGAGAAACAGCGGAAGCAGCAACAACAGCGAGGAACAUGAGAAGGUGCAAGGGCCAGAAAUGUGCAUGUGGGAAAGAAGCUACUGGAUCAGGGAUGAAGAAUGCACUGACCCUGCAGAUUGCUCCAAGCAUGGGCUAACGCUGGAAAAACAAUGGGAUGCUAUGCAGACUUGCGUGCAUGAUGGUUCUGAAGCAAUAUUCCUUCAAGUGCUGAACAGACGGGUCAAAGUGGAGGACAUCCUUUACUCGUUGCUGAUUGGCCGGCCAAUAGUUGUGGUGGGCAGGCCUCUCAGUGCACAUGAGGUUGCUGCCAGUGCCAAGGUUUUGGCUCUCUUCGCACCCCGGCGGUUCGGUGAUUUCCUGUGGUUUGAGGACCAGAGGUUUGAUUCACUGGACAACUCGUGCUUAAAUAAUGCAGCAGUAAUUGGUUAUGUUGACGAGCAUCGGACCAAAGACUUCGGGCUACCAUCUUCAGUCAGGAAAAAGGCUUCUGUGCUCAAUGUUGAAACUAGUGACUUCACUGGUCCUUGUUAUGGGUGCCCUCCUUAAGCAGACAAGCCAGAGGAUACGACUGCUUGAAGAAAAUGAAGCCCUACUAGCUGUGAUCUCAAGCGUGCUUGCAGAUGUUGAGUAUGUGGCUCACACGUGGGUCCUGUUGACUGCCAGUGCCCGGAAAACAGAAUCCAAGGCGUUUGCGAAGCAGAAGCAGCUCACCAACUGUGACAUGGCCAUACUGAAG